GGAGUUAGGAAAUGUAGGUGCGAUAAUACCGUGCCUAUUUGACAAAGGCUCCAAAGGAAGCCACGGCUAACUCUGUGCCAGCAGCCGCGGUAAUACAGAGGUGGCAAGCGUUGUUCGGAAUUAUUGGGCGUAAAGAGCACGUAGGUGGAUUUGUUAGUCAGAUGUGAAAGCCUUUCGUUCAACGGAAGAAUUGCAUCUGAAACUACAAACCUUGAGUAUAGGAGGGGAGAGUGGAACUUCUGGU
rnacentral:rRNA from 1 species